rnacentral:rRNA from 1 species
GAUGAACGCCGGCGGCGUGCCUAAUACAUGCAAGUCGAGCGAACAGAUGAGGAGCUUGCUCCUCUGACGUUAGCGGCGGACGGGUGAGUAACACGUGGAUAACCUACCUAUAAGACUGGGAUAACUACGGGAAACCGGAGCUAAUACCGGAUAAUAUAUUGAACCGCAUGGUUCAAUAGUGAAAGACGGUUUUGCUGUCACUUAUAGAUGGAUCCGCGCCGCAUUAGCUAGUUGGUAAGGUAACGGCUUACCAAGGCAACGAUGCGUAGCCGACCUGAGAGGGUGAUCGGCCACACUGGAACUGAGACACGGUCCAGACUCCUACGGGAGGCAGCAGUAGGGAAUCUUCCGCAAUGGGCGAAAGCCUGACGGAGCAACGCCGCGUGAGUGAUGAAGGUCUUCGGAUCGUAAAACUCUGUUAUUAGGGAAGAACAAAUGUGUAAGUAACUAUGCACGUCUUGACGGUACCUAAUCAGAAAGCCACGGCUAACUACGUG